rnacentral:rRNA from 1 species
GUAGGGAAUAUUCGACAAUGGACGAAAGUCUGAUCGAGCAACGCCGCGUGAGGGAUGAAGGUCUUCGGAUUGUAAACCUCUUUUAUAAGGGAAGAACACCCACAGUAGGAAAUGGCUGUGGAAUGACGGUACCUUUUGAAUAAGCAACGGCUAACUAUGUGCCAGCAGCCGCGGUAAUACAUAGGUUGCAAGCGUUAUCCGGAUUUACUGGGCGUAAAGCGUGUGUAGUCGGUUUCUUAAGUCUGACGUGCAAUGACAAGGCUCAACCUUGUCCUGCGUUGGAAACUGGGAAGCUAGAGUUACGGAGGGGCAAAUGGAAUUCCUAGUGUAUCGGUGGAAUGAGUAGAUAUUAGGAGGAACAUCAGUGGCGAAGGCGAUUUGCUGGACGAUAACUGACGAUGAGACACGAAAGCGUGGGUAGCAAACAGGAUUAGAAACCCCAGUAGUCC